AGUCACGUGGGAGGACAAUGGUGAGAAGAGGGAACCUAAGAAUUCCUGGACUCUGACUGGGCGUGAGAAAUGGCCGGAAGUAGCUUCGAGUCCGUCAUUCAAGCAGUAGAGGCUCUGGAGAAAAACUGGAGCGCAUCUGCUUAAAGGGCCGCCCAGGGUCAGGAUGGAGGGGCAAAGUCCGAGCAGGGGGUUUCCUCCCAUAUUGGAUCACGAUGAAAACUGCACAGAAAGUCCGUGCUCAGUUUCUUCCAUGGUUACAGAACACAGGCCCCAGACCAGGAAGGCAUUCUGCUAAAGAAGGGGACCCGAAACCUCAGCUACCAGCGCCGAUGGUUCAUCCUCCGAGGAAACCUCCUCUUCUACCUAGAACACUAGACCGACCAUGCACCCCUGAGCCUCAUCCUGUUAGAGAACUGCCAGGU
rnacentral:lncRNA from 1 species